CAUAAAACCAGCAGCCUUGUGACUGAGGUGCUGCACUGAGUCUUUCAGAGCCCAGCUCAUGGGAAUGGCUGGGAGCCAGAACUGCUAGAAAUGCCUGAGCAGAAGGAUUUCUCACCUGUAUAGCUUUGGUCUGGCUGCCUUCCCAAAAUGUUUGCUGUUGCCACGGGACUGAGAGCAGAGCCUUAAACCCUGGGCUGGCAGGGGAAUCCGGCCUCCUCGCAUCAGCUGUUGAGUCUACAUGAGAUUACAAGAAAUACUUUGCUUUAUACAGCGUUGCUUGGUGGGCGUUGUGUACUUCUGCCCAACAGUAGUACAGGUGUCUUUUCCAUCCAGGCUCAGCCCACACUGUCAUAAUGAUCUCCUGAUAUUGGCACAGCCACCAUGAGCUCUGCGGUUUGUUAUUGUGCUGCUGUGACACCGAAAAACACCAACUCUGGAGAAGAAUGGCAACUUUUCUUCUGCCUUGAGAGACAAGAAUAUCUGGAGGGGUUUCUCUGGAGGACCUCAGGAAAGUGGCAACAGGGAGGCAGAUGUGUGCCUCAGCACUUCAGUUAUAUACAUGUGUUGAGUCCUUUGGAUGAGAAAAGACAACCAUGAGAUGUGGAAAGGGGAACAGUGAGCAAAAAUUACAAAGGUAAUUCUCUGGCUGGGAUUUGAC
ensembl:lncRNA